rnacentral:rRNA from 1 species
AACGAACGCUGGCGGCAUGCCUAACGCAUGCAAGUCGAACGAGACCUUCGGGUCUAGUGGCGCACGGGUGCGUAACGCGUGGGAACCUGCCCUUAGGUUCGGAAUAACUCCCCGAAAGGGGUGCUAAUACCGGAUAAUGUCUUCGGACCAAAGAUUUAUCGCCUUUGGAUGGGCCCGCGUUGGAUUAGCUAGUUGGUAGGGUAAAAGCCUACCAAGGCGACGAUCCAUAGCUGGUCUGAGAGGAUGAUCAGCCGCACUGGGACUGAGACACGGCCCAGACUCCUACGGGAGGCAGCAGUGGGGAAUAUUGGACAAUGGGCGAAAGCCUGAUCCAGCAAUGCCGCGUGAGUGAUGAAGGCCUUAGGGUUGUAAAGCUCUUUUACCCGAGAUGAUAAUGACAGUACCGGGAGAAUAAGCGCCGGCUAACUCCGUG